rnacentral:rRNA from 1 species
GAUGAACGCUGGCGGCGUGCUUAACACAUGCAAGUCGAACGGAAAGGCCCUGCUUUUGUGGGGUGCUCGAGUGGCGAACGGGUGAGUAACACGUGAGUAACCUGCCCUUGACUUUGGGAUAACUUCAGGAAACUGGGGCUAAUAUCGGAUAGGAGCUCCUGCUGCGUGGUGGGGGUUGGAAAGUUUCGGCGGUUGGGGAUGGAAUCGCGGCUUAUCAGCUUGUUGGUGGGGUAGUGGCUUACCAAGGCUUUGACGGGUAGCCGGCCUGAGAGGGUGACCGGCGACAUUGGGACUGCGGGACGGCCCAGUAGCCUACGGGAGGCAGCAGGGGGGAGUAUUACGCAAUGGGCGGAAGCCUGAUGCAGAGACGCCGGGUGCGGGAUGACGGGCUUCUGGUUGUGAACCGCUUUCGCAGGUGACGAAGCGUUAGUGACGGUAAUUGGUAAAGAAGCACCGGCUAACUACGUG